ANCGCUGGCGGCGUGCCUAAUACAUGCAAGUCGAGCGANCAAACUANGAGCUUNCUNCUUUGACGUUAGCNGNGGNCGGGUGANUNACACGUNNAUAACCUACCUAUNANACUGGGAUAACUUCGGGAAACCGGAGCUAAUUCCGGUUAAUAUNUUGAACCGCAUGGCUCAAUAAUGAAAGACGGGUUNGCUGUACUUAUAGAUGGNUUCGCCCCGCAUUAGCUGGUUGGGAAGGUNACGGCUUACCAACGGCAACCNUGCUUAGCCGGCCUGAGAGGGUGAUCGGCCACACUGGAACUGAGACACGGUCCAGACUCCUACGGGAGGCAAUAGUNGGGAAUCUUCCNCAAUGGGCGAAAGCCUGACCGGAGCAACUGCCNGAGUGAGUGAUGAAGGUCUUCGGAUCGUAAAACUCUGGUAUUAUGGGAAGAACAAAUGUGUGAAGUAACUAUGCACGUCUUGACGGUACCUAAUCAGAAAGCCACGGNUAACUACGUUCCACCAANUCGCUGGAUACCUAGGUGGCAA
rnacentral:rRNA from 1 species